AAGGGUAUAGCUCAGUGGUAGAGUGCGUGCUUAGCAUGCACAAGGUCCUGGGUUCAAUCCCCAGUACCUCCA
rnacentral:tRNA from 1 species